rnacentral:rRNA from 1 species
CCUACGGGAGGCAGCAGUGGGGAAUAUUGGACAAUGGGGGGAACCCUGAUCCAGCGACGCCGCGUGAGUGAAGAAGUAUCUCUGUAUGUUAAGCUCUAUCAGCAGGGAAGAAAAUGACGGUACCUGACUACGAAGCCACGGCUAACUACGUGCCAGCAGCCGCGGUAAGACGUCGGGAGCAGGCGUUAUCCGGAUUUACUGGGUGUAAAGGGAGCGUAGGCGGUGCAGCAGGUCUGAUGUGAAAGGUCGGGGCGCAACCUCGGGACUGCAGUUGAAACUGUUGAACUGGAGUACAGGAGAGGUAAGCGGAAUUCGUAGUGUAGCGGUGAAAUGCGUAGAUAUCAGGAGGAACUCCAGUGGCGAAGGCAGCAUACUGGAGUGUAACUGACGCUGAGGCUCGAAAGCGUGGGGAGCGAACAGGAUUAGAUACCCUUGUAGUC